rnacentral:rRNA from 1 species
ACACGGCCCAAACUCCUACGGGAGGCAGCAGUAGGGAAUCUUCCACAAUGGACGCAAGCUGGAUGGAGCAACGCCGCGCGAGUGAAGAAGGUUUUCGGAUCGUAAAGCUCUGUUGUUGGUGAAGAAGGAUAGAGGUAGUAACUGGCCUUUAUUUGACGGUAAUCAACCAGAAAGUCACGGCUAACUACGUGCCAGCAGCCGCGGUAAUACGUAGGUGGCAAGCGUUGUCCGGAUUUAUUGGGCGUAAAGCGAGCGCAGGCGGAAGAAUAAGUCUGAUGUGAAAGCCCUCGGCUUAACCGAGGAACUGCAUCGGAAACUGUUUUUCUUGAGUGCAGAAGAGGAGAGUGGAACUCCAUGUGUAGCGGUGGAAUGCGUAGAUAUAUGGAAGAACACCAGUGGCGAAGGCGGCUCUCUGGUCUGCAACUGACGCUGAGGCUCGAAAGCAUGUGUAGCGAACAGGAUUAGAUACCCUGGUAGUCCAUGCCGUAAACGAUGAGUGCUAAGUGUUGGGAGGUUUCCGCCUCUCAGUGCUGCAGCUAACGCAUUAAGCACUCCGCCUGGGGAGUACGACCGCAAGGUUGAAACUCAAAGGAAUUGACGGGAGGCCGCACAAGCGGUGAAGCAUGUGGAUUAAUUCGAAGCAACGCGAAGAACCUUACCAGGUCUUGACAUCUAGUGCCAUUUGUAGAGAUACAAAGUUUCCUGUCGGGGACGCUAAGACAGUGGAGCAUGGCUGUCGUCAGCUCGUGUCGAGAGAGGUGGGUUAGUCCCGAACGAGCGCAACCCUUGUUAUUAGGUGCAGCAUUAAGUGGGCACUCUAUGAGACUGGCGGCGACAAGCAGGGGGAGGCGUAAUGACAA